UACGUAGGGUGCGAGCGUUAAUCGGAAUUACUGGGCGUAAAGCGUGCGCAGGCGGUUUUGUAAGCCAGAUGUGAAAUCCCCGGGCUCAACCUGGGAAUUGCAUUUGAGACUGCUCUGCUCGGGUGCGGAAGAGGGAAGCGGAAUUUCCGGUGUAGCGGUGAAAUGCGUAGAUAUCAGGAGGAACACCGGUGGUGUAAACGGCUUUCUGGACCAUAACUGACGCUGAGGCACGAAAGCGUGGGUAGCAAACAGG
rnacentral:rRNA from 1 species